GUGUAUUGAAAUAAGCAGAAUAAUCAUGGACAUUACUCGUGGACUUUGCAUCAUUAUGAUAGGGUCAUUUGACACCGACGAUAGAGCUUUUAGAGACUUUAUAAUGUAAAACAUACCCAUCAUCUGCUUAACCAAGCCCGUCAUCGACUGGUGGUAUUUCCGAGAAGUAAAGAAUAAAGGAAGAGGUCAGGGAGGAACUGGAAAUAGGAGCAUUACUUGC
rnacentral:lncRNA from 1 species